rnacentral:rRNA from 1 species
AAAUUGAAGAGUUUGAUCAUGGCUCAGAUUGAACGCUGGCGGCAGGCCUAACACAUGCAAGUCGAACGGUAACAGGAAGCAGCUUGCUGCUUCGCUGACGAGUGGCGGACGGGUGAGUAAUGUCUGGGAAACUGCUUGAUGGAGGGGGAUAACUACUGGAAACGGUGGCUAAUACCGCAUAACGUCGCAAGACCAAAGAGGGGGACCUUCGGGCCUCUUGCCAUCAGAUGUGCCCAGAUGGGAUUAGCUUGUUGGUGAGGUAACGGCUCACCAAGGCGACGAUCCCUAGCUGGUCUGAGAGGAUGACCAGCCACACUGGAACUGAGACACGGUCCAGACUCCUACGGGAGGCAGCAGUGGGGAAUAUUGCACAAUGGGCGCAAGCCUGAUGCAGCCAUGCCGCGUGUAUGAAGAAGGCCUUCGGGUUGUAAAGUACUUUCAGC